UGGAUCUCAAAUCAGAUAAGGUGACGCGCUGAAUUUAAG
rnacentral:rRNA from 2 species